AGUUUAACCUGAGCUCAGUAAUCCUGCUGCACCUUAGUACCUUAGAAUCCAGAGAUUUGCAGAAGCCUCUUCAACUUUAUUCUUCACUGUUUCGUUUUCACUGCUAAAUUCGGGAGGAAAUUGAAUUAGACUCCCACAGGCAGCAUGGAAAAUUGGGGAAAAUAGCUUCUUAUUCUCCCUCAGCUGAAUAUAAUAUAUCUAGUGGGGAACAGCAAAGCCUAGGCACAGAGCAUGUUUGCUUUGCUUUCUCAGUGGCCUACUUCCAAGCAGUUUGGAGACCUUGAAAUUAAAAAAAAAAACCAAACACAAAAAACCACAACAAAAUCCAAAAGGGCAGCAUAAUUCCCUUUCCCACAGUCCCAAGGCUCACAGAAAGCAUUCAGGACAUAGUAUUACCCACUGUUUGCACUAAGCCAGCCCAACAUUAAGAGAACACAAGUGCCAAAUUUAAUAUGUUAAUAAGAUUUAUUGUGUUCAUACACUAGUAAACAUUUCUAUGUACUGUCAGGUAAAUCCUGGCCAAUACAAGCGAGAACUAUCGGAUCACUACUGACCAAUUUAUGUCUCAACCUGUAUUUGAUUAGUGCAUUGUCUGAUAGCUGCACACUGUCUUCCUUCUGAAGGGAAGCGUCAGUGGGGCAGGUCCUUCUGGCUUUGCUGCUCCUUUUCCCCUGCCACUUUCAGAUAGAGGGCCACAAGCUACCAUGCCUUGCCAAAUAAACUGUAAAUGUUUCUGAAAUGCAGUAGUUUACCAGAUUGACAUCCUUCCAGACAAACAGAGGCAUCUGAAAAUGUUUACAGGCUACAUCAACAGGACUCAUCACAAACACAGAAACACAGUACCCUGAGCAAACUCCUCAGUGCCUAUGAAACUGUUCUGAUUUUGUGGUGAGAUAAAAAAUGUUACAGAUCAACAGAUAUGAAAUAUUCACUUUCUUCAGUCUCUUAGAUCCAAAGUCUAAAAAUAAUCCACUGUUGCUUAUGUCUAGUAGAACAGAACAGCUAAUUCUGAGUUAUUUCGGUUUACCACAUAAAAAAAUACCCAUCCUUAAUAUUAAAUACUUAGAUAAACCUAGCCAAGUGGAAUGGGCACAUGCUUUUUCUAACUUUGCUUUCAUAUUCUCUAAGUGUUAAAGCAGAAAUAAAUGUCUGAACAUAUAGCUGCUGUUAGCUGCCAUAGAGAACCAACUUCCAUUCCCCUCCUAAACAUUCAUUUUUGCCUUUUUUUCUUCAGAGAUUAGUUUUCAUUGAAAUGUGUCAAUAAAGAGAGUGGCUGUAAAAUCUGCUAGGGUUUGCCAGUAGCAUGUUCUGCAAAUAAUUUCGCUCGUGAACACAGUUUGCUAGAUUCUUAGCUGAUGUAAAUCCAUCUGGCUCCCGUAGAUUCAAUGAAUUUAUGUUAGUUCACACUGCCUGAAAUGAGGCCUAAUUUGUUUCCAGCUUUCAUUCAUAUUAUCCUAGGCUUGGUGGCUGUAUUUUUAGAUAUAGGCAGAUAAUUUGUUUAUAAUUUUCACUGACAGGUCCAAGAUCUUGAGUAAGCAUGGGAUGGAAACUGGGAGUCACUGGAGGAUAAGGAGCCCAGGAGUGAUGUGCUUUUAGGGACAGGACUAAGAAGGUGAGGGAAUUUUACAAAUCUAACAAAGCUCUGAUGAGACUUUCACCUCCUUUCCAAAAAAACACCCAGACCAUGGAAAAAAUUGUUUCCAAGAAGAAGUGUCACCAUGAGAUGUCUAGGCACUGACUGGACAUUUAGAAAAAA